UUUCUUUCUGUUAUGAAAUUAUUCACUAAAGUAUUUAAAACGGGUUCUAACACAUCAGGUGGUACCAAUUCAUGGGAAGCUUGUGCUAUGAACUGUAAAAGUUUGGUAACCUCUGAAGAAAAAACAAAUAUGUUCAUCAAGAAGUUCAAAAAAUAAACUGAGAAGUGCAGUGGGUUCUAAAAGUGAUUUGUUGCGUAGUUGAAUCAACACUUUACAAAAUGUCUGUAAAAAAUAUAAUUACAAUAUAGUAAACAAUUAUAUGUGACACAAUUUAUUUACAUAAUAUCAUCUGGAUAACAAUGGGCUACCUGCAAUGAUACGAAAAAAAAUACGACACGACAAGCGUAUUUAGCAUGUGUAUUUUAUUGAACAAUUUCUUAAAAUUGUAAAAAAAUAGUUAUGCGGUUAAUAUAUAUGUUGUAAAAAAAAUACUAUUUUAUUACAAAUACACUAUAUUUAUGUACGAAAUUGAUAACUGUGUCAUUGUUUAAAUAAUAAAUUAUAAUAUUAUAAA